GCUCUGUGUUUUUGAGAAGAUCUGGAAAGAGGAAUAAAAACCACGUACACGUCGGCUCUGCGUUGUUAUGCUCCUAAUUGGAAACUAAUUAAUUAAUUACCCUCGCCUCGCCGACUCGUCCUGUCCUGCAUUCUGACCCUCGCGAUCACCAGUCCCUUGUGAAGUACUUUCAGACCUGACACAAAUUUCCACAUUGUCACCACCAUGAAUUAUAGCAUUUUAACUGCCUGUUCCUUUUUUUUCUCUGCUGUGUUUCACCUGGACUCUUGACUUUCCUCCUCGCGAGGUCGCUUUUUAAAGUACUGGCUGAUUUUGCCCGUCAUAACUGCAACGCUAAAAACGGAGUAAACUUUUUUUUUAAAUAAACACGUCAUGCUCGGAUGCAAAAAAGACAAGCAGUAUUUACCUGUUUGUGUCCAGCCGCCAGGGAAAAUCAGGACGCCGAUAGCACCAACUAGCGGGAAAAAAAACAUGAUUCGAUCCGUUUCUUCUUCGGUAGAUGCUUCAGGUCUUUCCGAUGCACUGCUGUUGAUAUAGCGCCUCUAUAGUGGUGCAACGCUGCAACUGCAGUUAAAAUACGUUGCUGCUGCAGAGGGACAUCAUACGCUCAAUCAACACAGCUGGAGCUUUACGCUGUGUUGAGCGAAAUCAAUCGCUCUGGCUGGGGGCGGCACAAAAUUAGGUGGAGGCGGCCGCCAC